rnacentral:rRNA from 1 species
UGUGUAGGCGGUUGUUUAAGUUUGGUGUGAAAUCUCCCGGCUCAACUGGGAGGGUGCGCCGAAUACUGAAUGACUAGAGUGCGGGAGAGGAAAGUGGAAUUCCUGGUGUAGCGGUGAAAUGCGUAGAUAUCAGGAGGAACACCGGUGGUGUAGACGGCUUUCUGGACCGUAACUGACGCUGAAACACGAAAGCGUGGGUAGCAAACAGGAUUAGAUACCCUGGUAGUCCACGCCCUAAACGAUGCAUAUUUGGUGUGGGCAGUUCAUUCUGUCCGUGCCGGAGCUAACGCGUUAAAUAUGCCGCCUGGGGAGUACAGUCGCAAGGCUGAA